rnacentral:lncRNA from 12 species
AUGUGAGGAGUAGCUGGAGCCAGCAUCCCGGCUCGGCUGGGAUUAUUCCUGCUUGGCUGCCCUCUGCCGGCAUCCCCGAACGGUGCAAAGCGGGAGCGGCUCCGCGCCCCGCGCAGCGCCCGCGGGAACCCCGCAACGCCGGAGCCUGCGACAAGAAACCGGGACCGCGGGCGACAGCAGCGCCUGGCCAGAAAACAACUGGCUGCUACUGAGUGAGAGGAUUGCUCUAAUUAGCCCAAAAGAUGAGGCCCUGGCUGGACCAAAUUCAGCAGCAGUGGCUGGAGAC